UACGUAGGGUGCGAGCGUUGUCCGGAAUUAUUGGGCGUAAAGGGCUCGUAGGCGGUUUGUCGCGUCGGGAGUGAAAACUCAGGGCUUAACCCUGAGCCUGCUUCCGAUACGGGCAGACUAGAGGUAUGCAGGGGAGAACGGAAUUCCUGGUGUAGCGGUGAAAUGCGCAGAUAUCAGGAGGAACACCGGUGGCGAAGGCGGGUCUCUGGGCCGAUACUGACACUGAGGAGCGAAAGCGUGGGGAGCGAACAGG
rnacentral:rRNA from 1 species